UACGUAGGGGGCAAGCGUUGUCCGGAUUUAUUGGGCGUAAAGAGCGUGUAGGCGGCCAGGUAGGUCAGCUGUGAAAACUCGAGGCUCAACCUCGAGACGCCGGUUGAAACCAUCUGGCUAGAGUCCGGAAGAGGAGAGUGGAAUUCCUGGUGUAGCGGUGAAAUGCGUAGAGAUUGGGAAGAACACCUGAGGCGAAGGCGGCUAUCUGGCGGUACAUUGACGCUGAUGCGCGAAAGCGUGGGGAGCAAACAGG
rnacentral:rRNA from 1 species